GACUAAGCCAUGCAUGUCUCCGAAUAGAAGAGCAAGUCUCUCUGAAUCUGCGAACGGCUCCGCAUACCAGUUGUAAACCAUAGCGAGCAAGCCGCGUCGGCGUCGCAAGGCGUUCGGUGCGGCUCACAAGGAUAACCCUGGUAAUCCUGAGGCUAAUACAAGAACGUAGCACUCGUUUCGACCCGCAAGGGGAGAACGGGGACUGUGUGACCAGGCACGCAAUUUGAUCUGGGAGUGGCCACACGAUCAGACCGCUAUUCCAAACAGUCGCUUGCUCGAACGCCUUUCGGGGCUAGUACCGGCGGGCUUCUGGGCGGCUCUCGCUGUGUGCUUCUGACCUAUCAACUAGAUGGCAGCGUAAGGGACAUGCUAUGGUAACAACGGGUACAGAGGAUAAGGGUUCGAUCCUGGAGAGUGGGCCUGAGAGAUUGCUCACACUUCUAAGGAAGGCAGCAGGCGCGCAACGUUCCCAUUGGGCACAGCUCGAGGGCGUUAGGGGACAUAUGAAUGCCCAUCUUAAUGGUGGGUAAUUCAAAUGGGGCCGUUUUAAAUAUCCUAUCGAGUAACAAUUAGAGGACAAGUCUGGUGCCAGCACCCGCGGUAAUUCCAGCUCUAAUAGCAUACGUUAAAGUUGUUGCGGUUAAAACGCUCGUAGUCGGCUCCAGACCUUCACGAAGCCUGAAGCGGGACGCUGGGUCAGCUAAGUUCUUUUCUCCGAGGACGCGCCAGUUACUGCCGAGGGUGGACGUCGGUCAAGCGUGUCUCAAGCUGUUGCCCCUUUCGGGGGGUAUCACAGGGCUGAAUCACCGUCGUUGGCGGGGGGGGGUCCGCCCCUCUCCCUUUGAUGGAGGCUCGGCUCGGCUUGGGUCACCUAUCACCAUGAUUAAACUGUAGUGAUCAAAGCACGUCUUUCGAUGGGUGCAGCGUAGCAUGGUACGGGGCAACCCAGCUCACCUUAUUUUGCGGGGGAGAGACUGGGUAGAUGCAAUAGGGAUGUUCGAGGGUGACCGAAUUGCUGGGCGAGUGGUGAAAUACGUUGACCCUAGCAAGUCGACCAAUGGCGAAAGCAGUCAUCAAGGGCAUACCCGUUGAUCAAGAGCGAAAGUUAAGGGUUCGAAGACGAUCAGAUACCGUCGUAGUCUUAACUAUAAAUGAUGCAGACCAGGGAUAGGACAGUGUCCAUCUCGACUCCUCCUGGACCUCGGAGAAAUUCGAGUCUUUGGGUUCUGGGGGGAGUAUGGUCGCAAGGCUGAAACUUAAAGGAAUUGACGGAAGGGCACACAAAGAGUGGAACCUGCGGCUUAAUUUGACUCAACACGGGAAAACUCACCAGGUCCGGAUACACGUAUGAAGGUCAAGCUGAAUGACUUUACUCAAUGAUGUAAGUGGUGGUGCAUGGUCGUUCUUAGUUCGUGGAUUGAUUUGUCUGGUCUAUUCCGAUAACGAGCGAGACCCCAACGUUCCUAAUAGGGGUGGCAGCCAAGCCGGCCGCAAGGUUGGUUAGCUCGCCGCCUGAAGUUUUUACUUCUUAGACGUAUCAGAGCCGAUAAGGUUCUUGAAAUGGGUUAAUAACAGGUCAGUCAUGCCCUUAGAUGUUCUGGGCCGCACGCGCGUUACAAUGGCAUGAAAAAUGAGUGCUUGCAUAAGGCGUCCCCUGGGCCGAAAGGUCUGGGUAACCCUUAGUCCCUGCUUUGACUGGGACAGAUCAUUGCAAUUAUUGGUCUCAAACGAGGAAUUUUUAGUAAUCGUAGGUCAUUAACCUGCGUUGAAUGCGUCCCUGCCCUUUGUACACACCGCCCGUCGCUGCUACCGAUUGGGUUUCACAGUUACGCGUUCAGAGGAUGGUGCUCUCGGGUUUCACGACCUGGGGCGUCGACCGAAGUUCUUAAUUACUGUGCGGCCUAGAGGAAGCAGAAGUCGUAACAAGGUGGGCACAGCUCGAGGGCGUUAGGGGACAUAUGAAUGCCCA
rnacentral:rRNA from 1 species